UUGAACGCUGGCGGCAUGCCUUACACAUGCAAGUCGAACGGUAACAGGUCUUCGGAUGCUGACGAGUGGCGAACGGGUGAGUAAUAUAUCGGAACGUGCCCAGUAGUGGGGGAUAGCCCGGCGAAAGCCGGAUUAAUACCGCAUACGACCUACGGGUGAAAGGGGGGGAUCGCAAGACCUCUCGCUAUUGGAGCGGCCGAUAUCAGAUUAGGUAGUUGGUGGGGUAAAGGCCCACCAAGCCUGCGAUCUGUAGUUGGUCUGAGAGGACGACCAGCCACACUGGGACUGAGACACGGCCCAGACUCCUACGGGAGGCAGCAGUGGGGAAUUUUGGACAAUGGGGGCAACCCUGAUCCAGCAAUGCCGCGUGCAGGAAGAAGGCCUUCGGGUUGUAAACUGCUUUUGUCAGGGAAGAAAUCCCUUGGGUUAAUACCUCGGGGGGAUGACGGUACCUGAAGAAUAAGCACCGGCUAACUACGU
rnacentral:rRNA from 1 species